rnacentral:rRNA from 1 species
CUACGGGUGCUCCAGUGAGGAAUAUUGCACAAUGAGGGGAACCCUGAUGCAGCAACGCCGCGUGGAGGAUGACGCAUUUCGGUGUGUAAACUCCUUUUAUAUGUCAAGAAAAUGGCGGUAGCAUAUGAAUAAGCACCGGCUAACUCCGUGCCAGCAGCCGCGGUAAUACGGAGGGUGCAAGCGUUACUCGGAAUCACUGGGCGUAAAGGACGCGUAGGCGGGUUGGAAAGUCAGGUGCGAAAUCCUACAGCUUAACUGUAGAACUGCACUUGAAACUUCUAAUCUAGAGUAUGGGAGGGGGAGAUGGAAUUAGUGGUGUAGGGGUAAAAUCCGUAGAUAUCACUAGGAAUACCUAAAGCGAAGGCGAUCUCCUGGAACAUUACUGACGCUAAGGCGUGAAAGCGUGGGGAGCAAACAGGAUUAGAUACCCUAGUAGUC